GGGUCAGUAGGUUGGUCGUGCCACCGGUACGUACUGGUCUCACUGAUUCCUCCUUCCUGAAGAACCGUAAUGCCAUUAAUUUGGUGUUGCGGGGAAACAGGACUGUUACUUUGAAAAGAUUAGAGUGUUUAAAGCAAGCUAACGCUUGAACACAUUAGCAUGGAAUAAUGAAAUAGGACGAUCGAUCCUAUUUUGUUGGUUUCUAGGAUUGACGUA
rnacentral:rRNA from 1 species